rnacentral:rRNA from 1 species
UAAGGAAUAUUGCGCAAUGGGCGAAAGCCUGACGCAGCGACGCCGCGUGGGGGAUGAAGGUCUUCGGAUUGUAAACCCCUUUCGGGAGGGAAGAUGGAAUGGGGUAACCCAUUCGGACGGUACCUCCAGAAGCAGCCACGGCUAACUUCGUGCCAGCAGCCGCGGUAAUACGAAGGUGGCAAGCGUUGUUCGGAUUUACUGGGCGUACAGGGAGCGUAGGCGGUUCGGUAAGCCCUUUGUGAAAUCUCCAGGCUUAACCUGGAACAGUCGGAGGGGACUGCUGGGCUAGAGGACGGGAGAGGAGCGCGGAAUUCCCGGUGUAGCGGUGAAAUGCGUAGAGAUCGGGAGGAAGGCCGGUGGCGAAGGCGGCGCUCUGGAACGUUUCUGACGCUGAGGCUCGAAAGCGUGGGGAGCAAACAGGAUUAGAUACCCUAGUAGUCCCUGAGCGGGCUGGCAAGGCGCAU